GACGGAGGGUGCUAGCGUUGUUCGGAAUGACUGGGCGUAAAGGGCGCGUAGGCGGCUCGUGAAGUCGGGUGUGAAAGCCCGGAGCACCACCGGAACGGCAUCCGAUACUGGCGGGCUUGAGACCGGGAGAGGAGGGUGGAAUACCCAGUGUAGAGGUGAAAUUCGUAGAUAUUGGGUGGAACACCGGUGGCGAAAGCGGCUCUCUGGCCCGGAUCUGACGCUGAGGCGCGAAAGCGUGGGGAGCAAACAGG
rnacentral:rRNA from 1 species